AUUAGUAUUUUUAGAAAUCUGAACGCCCAUUUCAAAUUAACCCCAAACAUAAAAAUGAAGCAUUGUUUUCGUUACACUGUAACCAACAGCAACCACGGGAUGUAUGCGACCAAUUUUCUGGCUCCACCGCCUUCUACUCCGGCGAAGCGCCGAUGCAGUGUUUUCGCCACGGCGGCGAGCAACCGUCGCGAUCGAGAUGAAGUAUAUGUAUCGGCCGUUCCUUUGAGAGCCAGCAGAGGCCCGGGGCAAUUAUUGAUGUCCGCUGCGUACUCUCUCAAUUUGUGGGAUUUUCAGCAUUUCAUGGUCAUCGUCAAAUCCUCCUCUCCUCUUCACUCUCAGGCCAUUGUUUGUGAUUUUCUUCCUCAAGAUCCGGAGAGUAUAUCAGUGGCUGUUGCUGCACUGUCUGGUAGACCAGUACCAGGUGUUGUUCGUAUGAGGAAACUGAAGAAGCUACCAAACAAAAAAUGCUGGUUUGUUGGGUACUCAGAGAUGGAUGCUGUGUAUGCCUCAAGCAAAUUCAACGAAAGCUGGGAAACUGACUUGACAAUAAACCAUCAUGAUUGUCGAAAUUAUGUAAAUGGUCUAGUUGAACAACUAACUGGUGAGAUAGCAGUGCUGGAGCACUUGCAGAAAAGCAGUAAUACACAGGUUCAAGACCUAAUACCCCGAAAAGACUAGCAACAUUUUGUUAAGACUUCCUGACUUACAUCCUUGAUAAACUUAUAAAAAACAUACAGAGAAGAGUUGAUUUGCAUUAUAGGAGUAUAUAUAUAAUAUGGGAAACUAGAUUACACAUACAUGAUCUAAAGAGUUGUUUCAUCCAGCAUUCAAGACUUUGUAGAAUACUACUCCGUACCAUUUUAGACAAGCAAAAGCCCCACACCAAAAAGAUUUGUUAUAUACAAUAUUAGAAAGAUGCUACUCAACAAUUGCAGCUUUCUUGGAUUCUAGCAGAGUACCACACUGCAUCUUGUGAGAUGAUAUGACAGUCUUUGCAGCAGCAACUACAGCAUUUCCAUUUACAUAGUGCUGGCGACAGAGAGGCAUGUACAUAUCUGAACCACCUAUGAGCUCUGUCUGGGUUUCACCAGUCUUCCUGUAGGUGAAAAAUGCCCGUUUGCCACACAGUUCGCAUCUUGCUGUCAGCUUUUGCACAGUAUUGGCAAGUGGGAUUAUGUCAAGAACUGAACCAAAUCUCCUCCUGUGAUUAAAAGCCACAAUACCCUUUAUCAGACAACAAGACUGGUAAUCUGGUAUGCACUAGUUUAAGGUAACUAUGAGUGUCAAUGCAUUUUCAAUUUGAGAUUCAUGGUACCUAAGAUAAUCACCAUCCAGGCCAGCAACAAUUAUGGUUUUCCCAUCAAGAUCAGCAGCUUCACAGCAGAAAUCAUAGAGGUCAUCAAAGAACUGGGCUUCAUCAAUGCCGAUCACAUCCACCUAUCACAAAAAAGAGCUGAUUAUGGGGCAGGAAAUAUGCUAUAAAGACAGCAGCAGUUAUAGCAGGGUAUAAAUUCACAUGAUCCAAUACAGAAUUGCAGUUAAUUCUUGAAGGAAAAUAAAAAGUGAAAGGGAACACAAAAAACACCUUUUCAUAGGCAUCGGAUCCGAAUCUAUCCUUGAAAGACGUUAAAUCAGGCAACGCCCAACAUGGGAACUUGGUGCCGUCGUGCGUGACCACUGCAUCGACUGCAUAUCUUGUAUCUAUGCUCGACUUUAUCAGCACAACAUUUCUGCUUCCAAUUUCAAGUUUCAACACAACACACAGUUACAGAAACACAAUAUGAACUUUGACUUACUGUUUGAUGUGGAAAUUGUCAAAUUGAUGAUAAAAGUUUACAUACUUUCCCAAGUUGGACUCGGAAUUGACGCGGCGGAGGAGAGCGGUGGUCUUGCCGGCGAACAUGGGGCCCAGAAUCACGUGGAUUUCUCCCGCCUUCGGAAUCGGGUUGGAUCCGGGAAUGGGGCAAUUGAAGGAGGCAGAAGCAGACGACAUGAUUGCAGAGUCGUAUGAGAGAGAAAAUAUGUUGCUUUGGCGCUGUGCUGGGAAUGGCUAUGGAGGAUAUUGGAUCUCGAGAAUUACGGCUUUAUAGGAGAGAAUGAAAAGGACAGGCAUGAGGGCGGGCUGUGGCGGUUUGCUUCGUGAUCAUACAGGAGAGUGGCUAGCCCUAGCUGAGUUUUCUUGCCACCUAGGCCAAUGUACGAUGGAAGAAGCUGAAUUAUGGGGCAUUAUGCAAGGUCUACGGCUGGCUUGCGAUAGGGGCUGCACCACAUUAUAAUCCAGACUCCAUAGUGACUCCGGGGAGGGUGGUUGAAUGGCUAACGAAGUGAGGGAAUGAAGGUGACAUCCAAGAUACAAUCUUCUAACUGAAACUGAUCAAGCAAAGUCGGAGUGUCAAAGUUACUGGCAUCUUAAGGGAACAAAACUGCGCAGCUGAUUGGCUUGCUAAGAACUGCGGACCGUGUGGUUGGGGGUGCAAGACUUUAAAGGCUUAGAGUAGCCCUGGAGGCCCCAGAAGAGUUGGAGGUAGGUUUUGAAAAAAGUUCACUCGAUGCGGAUUGAGAGUUGUAGGUGGGUAGAGAAAGUAUAUAGUGACUCAAGUAAUGGAUGUAGCCCUUCCGAUCCACCUCGACUCAUUGGCAUCCCUAAUAAAGGAUCUACCGUUCUAUUA